rnacentral:rRNA from 1 species
AGUCAAGCUAAUAAGGGCAUACGGUGGAUGCCUAGCCGUCAAAAGCCGAAGAAGGACGGGGUAAGCUCCGAAAAGCUAUGGUGAGCUGCAAGCAAGCUUUGACCCAUAGAUCUCCGAAUGGGGGAACCCGGCAGUAGUAAAGUACUGUCACCUAUAUUUAGAUAUAGGAGGGCACCUGGGGAACUGAAACAUCUAAGUACCCAGAGGAAAAGUAAUCAAUUGAGAUUCCCAAAGUAGCGGCGAGCGAACAGGGAAAAAUGCCCAAACCAAAUGAUUUCGGUCGUUUGGGGUUGUGGACUAACAAAGAGAGAAAUAAUUUCUAGUUGAAUGGUUUGGGAAAGCCAGCCACAGAAAGUGAAAGCCUUGUAAACGAAAGGAAUUAUAAUCCAGUUAGAAUCCAGAGUACCACGAGACACGUGAAACCUUGUGGGAAGCAGGGGGGACCACCCUCCAAGGCAAAAUACUUUUGACGAGCGAUAGCGCAUAGUACCGUGAGGGAAAGGUGAAAAGAACCCCGGGAGGGGAGUGAAAUAGAACCUGAAACCGUAUGUCUACAAACAGUUGGAGAACUAUGUCUCUUCGGAGACCUGUUCGACAGCGUGCCUAUUGAAGAAUGAACCGACGAGUUACGUUUUACUAGCGAGGUUAAGAAGGAAAUUCGGAGCCGUAGCGAAAGCGAGUCUUAAUAGGGCGAAUAGUUAGUAGAAGUAGACCCGAAACCGCAGUGAUCUAUCCAUGGCCAGAGUGAAGCGCAGGUAAAAAUGCGUGGAGGCUCGAACCCGUGAGCGUUGAAAAGCUUUGGGAUGAGUUGUGGAUAGGGGUGAAAUGCCAAUCGAACGCGGAGAUAGCUGGUUCUCCCCGAAAUAGCUUUAGGGCUAGCCUCGAUUAAAUAAGUACAGACGGUAGAGCACUGAUAGGGCUAGGGGCCAUUGCGGUUACCGAACUCAGUCAAACUACGAAUGGAAGUACUCUUAAAUCGGGAGUCAGACUGCGAGUGAUAAGGCCCGUAGUCAAAAGGGAAACAGCCCAGACCAACAGCUAAGGUCCCCAAUGUCAUGCUAAGUGGAAAAGGAUGUGGCGACGCAAAAACAACCAGGAUGUUGGCUUAGAAGCAGCCAUCAUUAAAAGAGUGCGUAAUAGCUCACUGGUCGAGUAUCGCUGCGCCGAAAAUGUCCGGGGCUAAAGCAUGAAACCGAAGCUUUGGCAUCUAGUAAUAGAUGGGUAGGGGAGCGUUCUAUACACGACGAAGCGGUACCGUAAGGAGCCGUGGAGAGUAUAGAAGUGAGAAUGUCGGUAUGAGUAGCGAAAAGGAAGGUGAGAAUCCUUCCCACCGAAAGCCUAAGGUUUCCUGAGGAAGGCUCGUCCGCUCAGGGUAAGUCGGAACCUAAGCCGAGGCAAAGAGCGUAGGCGAUGGACAACUGGUUAACAUUCCAGUACUAUCUAAUUUCGUUUGAGCAAUGGAGUGACACAGAAGGGUAGGUAAUCGCGAGGAUGGAAAUUCGCGUCUAAGCCUGUAGGGUGACAGUGAGGCAAAUCCCACUGUCGCAAAGCCUGAGAGGUGAUGGGGAGCUGUUAGCGAUAACAGCGAACUUAUUGAUCCCAUGCUGUCAAGAAAAGCUUCUAGCGAGAAAGAAGAUAUCCGUACCGUAAACCGACACAGGUAGGCGAGGAGAGAAUCCUAAGGUGCGCGGGAGAACCCUCGUUAAGGAACUCGGCAAAAUAUCUCCGUAACUUCGGGAAAAGGAGAGCCCAUUUGGUGAAGUCACUAGCUGGCGGAGCUAAAGUGGGUUGCAAAAACCAGGUCCAAGCGACUGUUUAGCACAAACACAGGUGCCUGCUAAAGCGAAAGCUGACGUAUAGGUGCUGACACCUGCCCGGUGCUGGAAGGUUAAGAGGCGGGCUUAUCACUUUGGUGAGAAGGUCUAAAUUGAAGCCCCAGUAAACGGCGGCCGUAACUAUAACGGUCCUAAGGUAGCGAAAUUCCUUGUCGGGUAAGUUCCGACCCGCACGAAAGGUGUAACGACUUGGACACUGUCUCAACGAGGGACCCGGUGAAAUUGAAGUACCUGUGAAGAUGCAGGUUACCCGCGACUGGACAGAAAGACCCCAUGGAGCUUUACUGUAACCUGACAUUGAAUUUUGGUAAAGAAUGUACAGGAUAGGUGGGAGACUGAGAAGUAGUGGCGCCAGCCAUUAUGGAGUCAAACUUGGGAUACCACCCUUUGUUUACUGGAAUUCUAACUGUAAUAUAACAAUAUUCAGGACCGUGUCAGGCGGGCAGUUUGACUGGGGCGGUCGCCUCCGAAAGAGUAACGGAGGCGCCCAAAGGUUCCCUCAGCGCGGCUGGAAAUCGCGCGAAGAGUGUAAAGGCAUAAGGGAGCUUGACUGCAAGACAAACACGUCGAGCAGGGACGAAAGUCGGGCUUAGUGAUCCGGUGGUACCGAGUGGAAGGGCCAUCGCUCAACGGAUAAAAGCUACCCUGGGGAUAACAGGCUAAUCUCUCCCAAGAGUCCAAAUCGACGGGGAGGUUUGGCACCUCGAUGUCGGCUCAUCACAUCCUGGAGCUGAAGCAGGUUCCAAGGGUUGGGCUGUUCGCCCAUUAAAGUGGUACGUGAGCUGGGUUCAGAACGUCGUGAGACAGUUCGGUCCCUAUCCAUCGCGGGCGUAAGAGACUUGAAGAGAUCUGCUCCUAGUACGAGAGGACCGGAGUGGACGAACCUCUGGUGUACCAGUUGUUCCGCCAGGAGCAUAGCUGGGUAGCUACGUUCGGAUCGGAGAAACGCUGAAAGCAUCUAAGCGUGAAACCAACUUUAAGAUGAGGUCUCUCACUGAAAAGAUAAGGCCACUUGAAGAACACAAGUUUGAUAGGUCGGGAGUGUAAGUAGAGCAAUCUAUUCAGCGGACCGAUACUAAUAAGCCGAAGGCUUGACUUA